rnacentral:rRNA from 1 species
GAUGAACGCUGGCGGCGUGCCUAAUACAUGCAAGUCGAGCGAACAGAUAAGGAGCUUGCUCCUUUGACGUUAGCGGCGGACGGGUGAGUAACACGUGGAUAACCUACCUAUAAGACUGGGAUAACUUCGGGAAACCGGAGCUAAUACCGGAUAACAUAUUGAACCGCAUGGUUCAAUAGUGAAAGGCGGCUUUGCUGUCACUUAUAGAUGGAUCCGCGCCGUAUUAGCUAGUUGGUAAGGUAACGGCUUACCAAGGCAACGAUACGUAGCCGACCUGAGAGGGUGAUCGGCCACACUGGAACUGAGACACGGUCCAGACUCCUACGGGAGGCAGCAGUAGGGAAUCUUCCGCAAUGGGCGAAAGCCUGACGGAGCAACGCCGCGUGAGUGAUGAAGGUCUUCGGAUCGUAAAACUCUGUUAUCAGGGAAGAACAAAUGUGUAAGUGACUGUGCACAUCUUGACGGUACCUGAUCAGAAAGCCACGGCUAACUACGUG